GCCGUGCUCGCCCGCCGCUGCACCGGCGGAGGGAGGCAUGGAGCUCAAGUGCCGAGGAGGACGCUCGGCGGAUGGAGCGCCGAGGAGCUAGAGCUGCCCAGAUCUGUGGUGGAGGGAGCACCGAGGAGCUCUGCCCAAAUCCGCGACGGAGAUACGAGGAUAGUGAAGAGAAUUUUGAUGAUCAUAAUGGAAUAUUUAUUUUAAAGAAUAAAUUUAGAAUAUAACGAGUGCGGAUAACUUCAAUCCUUAAUCCCACGCACACCACGCCAACUAAACAGGCAAAAUUAUACGGCCCAUGGUCGAAUCGGCAUAGUAGGACGACGAUAGAGAAACUGAAACGCAUUGACAGUACUGCACAUUGACGAAUAUAGUGGCCACUCUCGUACAACUUUUCUUCUCUCCUAAAAAAUUGCCCAUAAAAGAAAACAUCCUGAGUUACCACCACACACAGAUCGAGGUCGUAAGUACUGGUUCCUGAAUAUGAUGUUCCGAGUCCGAGAGGCGCAGUACACCGUACACGACCGCGAGACCUUGGAGUGGCACUCUGCCUCCCCCGUUCUCCAGAUCCUCGUGUCGGCUACGGCAGAUCUCGCCGCCCCGCCCCCCGCCCCCCCAAACCCCCCUGCCUGCGCGCGUCCCCAACCCCAAUCAUCCUCCUCCUAAUCGCUUUCCGGAUUAUCCGCCUCUUCUUCCUCCUGGGCGCGACCCCGCCGGGGGAGUAAUUGCCACCAUUGCUGCGCUCCUGCCAUGGCGCCAGGACUCGCAGUCACGCGGCCUGUACAGCAAGCAGCCGCCUCGCAGUCGCAGAUCCUCCAGCCGGCUGGGUUUUGGAUGCAGCCCCUGCCGCGUCCUAGACUGCGCCGAUUCAAUGGCGUGGCAGGCCGGCCAUGGACGGAGGAGGUCAGUGCAGGCUGCAGCAGAGCGUGGCGUGCAUGCGUGAGCAGUGUGGUUCGCCAAGAUUUUGGCAGAGUUGCUCGUGGGAAGUUCGCGAUGUCGAGGUGCAUGGUUCUGCUUCCAUUGAGAAUUUGAGAUGCAUGGCAACGGGCAAGGUGGAGACUUCGCACUGCACUGCCAGCGAGGACAACAGUGUGGCAUCGACCAGCUGUGGUGGCCACAUAGAGCUCGGCACGUGUCGUGGUUUGUCUUACUAGUCGCAGAGCUCCGCUAGUGUUUGUUUUGUUUUCUUCUUCAUGCGGAUAGUUUUUUAGCCCUAUUGCAUUUCUUUUGUUAUCUUAACUGUAGUAGGCACUGUCUCAUCAAAAAAAAAAGUAUCUAGCUCAUUUCUACCAUUUUUAACCUUUUUCCCCACAUGAAAAAUCUAGACUUCCACACCAAACAAUUUUUUUUUUCUGAAAACCAAGCUGAAUGAUCACAAGAUUAAUGAAGUCCAGUCUCAACUCUCAAUUGCACCCUUGAGAAAAAGAAUGUAUAGAACAAUAUUUCCCCUGGUUUUAGGAACCUCCUAUAUCCAUCCAUUAACAGUUGCUAUCACAAGGAUUUCCUUUGUUUGUCCAGUUAGAUUGCAGUGAUCUAUAUUCCGGCCAACUAUGCUCGUCAAUAGCAGGAGGACCCAAAUGUUUGAACAAAGAUUGUACUGAUGUGAUUGUAUUCAUUACCAUUUCCCCUAAGAUGAUUACAGCGUCAUAUCUCGGUCAACUCAUGCUGUUUCUUUUCUCAUGCAGUGUGAGGUUCAGAGCAGGUGAACGUCUGCGUCCACCCACCAUAAGAAAUGGUAGAGAAGCUGUCCCUGGCCAGUUGCAUCAGCAGAUCAAGCCGAUAUCUCCAUUAACAAAGACACUAGAUACCCUCUCAAAUCAUGUAACAUAUACAAUCAGCAAAAGGGGAUAUCAUCACA